rnacentral:lncRNA from 1 species
CUUUUCGCUUGAUCAAAGCCAUCAAACACCCAGGUCUUGACCAUUCUUUGUGUUUUCACUCAUUUAUUCAUUCACUGUUCAUCAUCUCAUUCUGAUUGUUCUCUCAUUUUCUGUUCUGUUUAUUUGAUUAUUUCCAUAUUAUGCUAUUCAUAUAUCCAGUAGUGUUAGAUUAAUAAAACGUUAAAAGGAAUCAGGUUUUGUGUGCAUUGUUCUUCAGAUUUAAGCAGAGGUCACUGAACCGCGACAAGAAUUCACGGCAUAAGCAAUGUGCAAUGUGACAGGAGGAAGAUUACAGGAUAAAUUAGUUGAGGCUAUUCUGUGUCUUCUCUGGUGGAGAAUAGUAAGGGACUGUUGUCAGACGGCCUGAUAUGCGACCCUUCCACAUUCCUUGCGACCACAAAAUAGCCAUUACAAACAAUGGUCCCAUCACAACCAACUGAACUGGUCAAACUGUGGUGAGGCUUGGGGUUUCCCCUUGUUCUGCUGGGGUGUAUAGAUGUGGAAUUAAUGGAGCAUACACACACCUGCCUCCACUUGUCAGGUGACUGAUAAGUUCUUCUUCAUGAUUUUCUCAUGUCAUUAGACUAAGAGGAUUCUUUGGAAUAAAAAAUUAGGAAAUAGGAAUCUUAUAGAUUUUGUUAUUCCACAUCUGGCCAUUACACUGUACAUUCAGUGAUGUCAACGCAGCCUUGAAAAGCACUUCUCCACCACUCAUCCAUUCCCCUAUGCCUAUAUUAUUGAUAGAGCAUCUACAACAACUGCUCAAGUCACAGCUUCACGGGUUCUGGCUGUCAGGGCUCGGGCAGGCGGCGGACCCACAUGCACAGCACGGAGGCAGGAUUAUGAUCAAACAGAGGUUUAUUUUCCAAGGCAAGGUCAGACGGUCCAGGUCAUACACAAGUGGUCACGGCAAAAGUACAGGCAGGGAUAAGGCAAACUCGCGGUCAGAUAGUCAGUCCAGGGUCAGGCAGGAAACGGUGCAAGGCAAAACAGGAACAAAACACGAGGAACACGAAACACGGGAAACUUCAAGACGCUCAGGAAACGGUGCAAGGCAAAACAGGAACAAAACACGAGGAACACGAAACACGGGAAACUUCAAGACGCUCACGAAACUCAGGAGACACAAGAAACUCGGAACUCUCAAGAAACACGGGACACUAAUGAAACUCGACAAUCUGGCAACUGGGGUCUGUGAGUGGUGAGGCUAUAUACUGGUACUGAUUACUGAUUGGUAACAGGUGUGGAUACUGGGAACCGGAGAGUGACGACUGGGUAAACAGGAAGUUAACAAAAUAAAACAGGAUGUGACAGAUGGCGUGAAACA